rnacentral:rRNA from 1 species
AUUGAACGCUAGCGGGAUGCUUUACACAUGCAAGUCGAACGGCAGCGCGGACUUCGGUCUGGCGGCGAGUGGCGAACGGGUGAGUAAUGUAUCGGAACGUGCCCAGUAGCGGGGGAUAACUACGCGAAAGCGUAGCUAAUACCGCAUACGCCCUACGGGGGAAAGCAGGGGAUCGUAAGACCUUGCACUAUUGGAGCGGCCGAUAUCGGAUUAGCUAGUUGGUGAGGUAACGGCUCACCAAGGCGACGAUCCGUAGCUGGUUUGAGAGGACGACCAGCCAAGCUGGGACUGGGACACGGCCCAGACUCCUACGGGAGGCAGCAGUGGGGAAUUUUGGACAAUGGGGGCAACCCUGAUCCAGCCAUCCCGCGUGUGCGAUGAAGGCCUUCGGGUUGUAAAGCACUUUUGGCAGGAAAGAAACGUCGCGGGCUAAUACCCCGUGGAACUGACGGUACCUGCAGAAUAAGCACCGGCUAACUACGUG